UGGGGAAUAUUGCACAAUGGGGGAAACCCUGAUGCAGCGACGCCGCGUGGAGGAAGAAGGUCUUCGGAUUGUAAACUCCUGUUGUUGGGGAAGAUAAUGACGGUACCCAACAAGGAAGUGACGGCUAACUACGUGCCAGCAGCCGCGGUAAAACGUAGGUCACAAGCGUUGUCCGGAAUUACUGGGUGUAAAGGGAGCGCAGGCGGGAAGACAAGUUGGAAGUGAAAUCUAUGGGCUCAACCCAUAAACUGCUUUCAAAACUGUUUUUCUUGAGUAGUGCAGAGGUAGGCGGAAUUCCCGGUGUAGCGGUGGAAUGCGUAGAUAUCGGGAGGAACACCAGUGGCGAAGGCGGCCUACUGGGCACCAACUGACGCUGAGGCUCGAAAGUGUGGGUAGCAAACAGGAUUAGAUACCCUGGUAGUCCACACCGUAAACGAUGAUUACUAGGUGUUGGAGGAUUGACCCCUUCAGUGCCGCAGUUAACACAAUAAGUAAUCCACCUGGGGAGUACGACCGCAAGGUUGAAACUCAAAGGAAUUGACGGGGGCCCGCACAAGCAGUGGAGUAUGUGGUUUAAUUCGACGCAACGCGAAGAACCUUACCAAGUCUUGACAUCCCUUGACAGACAUAGAAAUAUGUAAUCUCUUCGGAGCAAGGAGACAGGUGGUGCAUGGUUGUCGUCAGCUCGUGUCGUGAGAUGUUGGGUUAAGUCCCGCAACGAGCGCAACCCUUAUGGUCAGUUACUACGCAAGAGGACUCUGGCCAGACUGCCGUUGACAAAACGGAGGAAGGUGGGGACGACGUCAAAUCAUCAUGCCCUUUAUGACCUGGGCUACACACGUACUACAAUGGCGUUUAACAAAGAGAAGCAAGACCGCGAGGUGGAGCAAAACUCAAAAACAACGUCUCAGUUCAGAUUGCAGGCUGCAACUCGCCUGCAUGAAGUCGGAAUUGCUAGUAAUCGCGGAUCAGCAUGCCGCGGUGAAUACGUUCCC
rnacentral:rRNA from 1 species